CCUCCAUGUUCCCUUUCCCAUCAGAUCUGAACACAGGUUUUGGUGGUCAUAAAAGACGAAAAAGUAAUAUGAAGUUAGCCUCACAGCUCUGUAGCAUGUGGGCUGGUUUUGAACAAGG